rnacentral:rRNA from 1 species
UACGUAGGGUGCAAGCGUUGUCCGGAAUUAUUGGGCGUAAAGAGCUCGUAGGCGGUCUGUCGCGUCGGCUGUGAAAACCCGAGGCUCAACCUCAGGCCUGCAGUCGAUACGGGCAAACUAGAGUACUGCAGGGGAGACUGGAAUUCCUGGUGUAGCGGUGAAAUGCGCAGAUAUCAGGAGGAACACCGGUGGCGAAGGCGGUUCUCUGGGCCUUACCUGACGCUGAGGAGCGAAAGCGUGGGGAGCGAACAGG